rnacentral:lncRNA from 1 species
UCUCUAAGAACUAAAUCCAAAUGAUGAUCGCAAAGGAUAGAUACCCAUGGCUGCAACAGCAACUGUUGCCCUAUAGCCAAUUUAAGGAUUACUUUCUCAGCCCUCUAUCUUCCCAUCGACUCUACACUAGAGUCCAUAGCUCAACUGGGAGAAGAGAAAAUCGUAAGGAUAAUAUUGAGUAAUCUUGACAUGCCUACUAUAGGCGUGUCUUUGUUUCUUUAGGCUCUCCAGGUAUUUACCUCUGAACUCUUUCAAGAUUUUUUUGUUAGUAACACUUUGACCAAGUCAGAUAAGGUGCCAUGAUGAUUUUUUAUAUGGUACCUUACCACAAACUAUCCAUAUAAACUAAUCAGAGAUCGCAGGAUCAAAUUCAUAAGUAAUUCUUUGUGCAUGAUCAUGUCGAGCCUUUCAAGCUCCUUAAUGUCCUUAAUCAUUAUCAAAUAACAAUCAUAGUAGGAUUGCUUAAUCUAAUCAUCUUCAACCACCAACCUACUUCUGAAGGAUCCAAUUGUUUGCCUUCACCUUAACCAUCUUCUCUCCGAUCUCUUGCAAAACCAAAUAGAGCAUCUCCAUGUGAUGUUGAAGGCAUUCUUCCUAUUGAGAGUCCAUGAAGAUACUAUCCUAUGAAGAGGAAAAAGGAAGAUUAGUGAAAGGAUUAAUCUCCUAAGAAGAAAGGAAAGAGAAAAAGUUAUAAAACUACCACCUAAAGAUGACUCAGGAUGAUUUGAUGAUUAAGCUGUGCAAAAGUCACUUGGUCUAAUAGAAAGAACAUUCUAAAUCUCCCCAGAUAUGGUGGAUUUAUUAGGACCUUCAACUUUUAUUGUGCUCUAAAUGGUUUGGAUCAAUCCAGCUAGUUAUCUCAUUUGAAUUAGUAGACACAUGGCACAUCUGCUCCACUUCCAAUGAUCAAUAUUGCCUCAGAAGACAGAGUGUCAAGACUUGUCCUUCAAGGGACCACCACUCAUUAGUUAAUAUCCUCUUCAAAAUAGUAUAGAGUCUAAUUAAAUGGUUUCUUCCUUCAUCCGAGCUAAGAAAGAUGUUUCGGACUUGGAAGUAGAGAGCCAAUGAUGGGGCAAUACAUGACCUAAGUGAUGUGGAGUGUUCAGAUUCAUCAAGCUCAUAAUCUACAUAGCGACUCAGGCCUACUUAGAGAUUCUCUAAGGCAUACUUGGCUGGGACCUUCUUGCUGACCCGAGAGUUGGGAUGAGCAAACCAGCAAUAGCCGACCACUAGUGGUGAAGCCUCAUAAUGUGGCCCUGUGACCAAUUAACUCGGCAAUCAACCCUAGUUGAAUAGGUCCUUCCCGUGGCAAAGGCAUCUCGACCUUUUUGUCCAAAUGCAUACGAGGUUCAUGCAAUUUCAUCGCAUGUCAGAUGGUUACGAUAUGUCUCGAGGUGGUAAUGCU